rnacentral:rRNA from 1 species
GUUAACAAAAACAUGUCCUUUUGAUUAUAAUUUAAGGUCUAAUCUGCCCACUGAAAUUUUUAAAUGGCCGCGGUAUUUUGACCGUGCAAAGGUAGCAUAAUCAUUAGUUUUUUAAUUGAAAGCUGGAAUGAAUGAUUGGAUGAAAAAAUGACUGUCUUAAAUUAAAAUUUAAAAGUUUAUUUUUAAGUUAAAAAGCUUAAAUAAUUUUAAAAGACGAGAAGACCCUAUAGAGUUUGAUAUUUACUAUUAUAGGUUUUUUAAGUAUAAAUUUAUUUAUAAUAGUAUUUAUUUUGUUGGGGUGACAGAAAAAUUAAAUAAACUUUUUCUAAAUUUUUACACUAAUAUAUGAAUAAUUGAUCCAUUAUUUGAUUAUAAGAUAAAAUUACCUUAGGGAUAACAGCGUAAUUUUUUUUGAGAGUUCUAAUCGAAAAAAAAGAUUGCGACCUCGAUGUUGGAUUAAAGUUAAUUUUUGGUGAAGAAGCUAAAAAAUUAGGUCUGUUCGACCUUUAAAACUUUACAUGAUCUGAGUUCAGA